rnacentral:lncRNA from 1 species
GAUGAUUAUCAUGGACCUUAAAAAUGACAGUAUUUCAAUGAAUCCAUGUAAUUUUUUUAAUAAUUCUAUCUGAAUUUUGUAUACAAAAUAUAAUACAAAUUAAAUUAAUUUGCUUAGCACAUUAAAACACAAUGGAAUACAUAUAGGAGCAUACAUUAUGUCAUGGUUCCUCAAUAGGUGUAAUGUAGGAGCUCCCAAUCUAUGCAAAUUUGAAUUACAUAAACAACUUUAUAUAAAUUUUGAUAGGAAAAAUCUUAAAAAUCAUCUUUAUAAUUUAAUAUACAAUGAAAUAUUGCAAUUUUACAUGAAUAUAGUAAUUCUCACUAGUUAUGAUGAUAUUCUAAUAAUGAUUGAUAUUAUCAGUAAUUAAUUUUCCAUAGUAAAAUGAUUGUGUU